rnacentral:rRNA from 1 species
UGGGGAAUAUUGCACAAUGGGCGCAAGCCUGAUGCAGCGACGCCGCGUGGGGGAUGACGGCCUUCGGGUUGUAAACUCCUUUCGCUAGGGACGAAGCUUUUUGUGACGGUACCUAGAUAAGAAGCACCGGCUAACUACGUGCCAGCAGCCGCGGUAAUACGUAGGGUGCGAGCGUUGUCCGGAAUUACUGGGCGUAAAGGGCUCGUAGGUGGUUUGUCGCGUCGUCUGUGAAAUUCCGGGGCUUAACUCCGGGCGUGCAGGCGAUACGGGCAUAACUUGAGUACUGUAGGGGUAACUGGAAUUCCUGGUGUAGCGGUGAAAUGCGCAGAUAUCAGGAGGAACACCGAUGGCGAAGGCAGGUUACUGGGCAGUUACUGACGCUGAGGAGCGAAAGCAUGGGUAGCGAACAGGAUUAGAUACCCUGGUAGUCCAUGCCGUAAACGGUGGGCGCUAGGUGUGAGGGUCUUUUCACGACUUUCGUGCCGUAGCUAACGCAUUAAGCG